rnacentral:rRNA from 1 species
UGGGGAAUUUUGGACAAUGGGCGAAAGCCUGAUCCAGCAAUGCCGCGUGUGUGAAGAAGGCCUUCGGGUUGUAAAGCACUUUUGUCCGGAAAGAAAUCCUUGGCUCUAAUACAGUCGGGGGAUGACGGUACCGGAAGAAUAAGCACCGGCUAACUACGUGCCAGCAGCCGCGGUAAUACGUAGGGGUGCAAGCGUUAAUCGGAAUUACUGGGCGUAAAGCGUGCGCAGGCGGUUUGCUAAGACCGAUGUGAAAUCCCCGGGCUCAACCUGGGAACUGCAUUGGUGACUGGCAGGCUAGAGUAUGGCAGAGGGGGGUAGAAUUCCACGUGUAGCAGUGAAAUGCGUAGAGAUGUGGAGGAAUACCGAUGGCGAAGGCAGCCCCCCUGGGCCAAUACUGACGCUCAUGCACGAAAGCGUGGGGAGCAAACAGGAUUAGAUACCCUGGUAGUCCACGCCCUAAACGAUGUCAACUGGUUGUUGGGAACGGUUCCUUCUCAGUAACGUAGCUAACGCGUGAAGUUGACCGCCUGGGGAGUACGGCCGCAAGGUUGAACUCAAAUG